rnacentral:lncRNA from 1 species
UGGGGAGCUGGCAUGGUGUUGGACAUAAGCAACCAAGCAGCCACACAGCUUGGCAGGAGCCCUCAGGAGCGAGUGAAGAGGAGGAAGGGUACCGUGACUCUUUCUGGGGACCCUGGAUGGCUGACUCCUGGCUGAAACAGAGCCGUCAAUCUUGUGACAAGACAAGCAUUAAUGCCUCCAAAUAUUGGCACCAUGCCACACACAGAUUU